UACGUAGGGUGCGAGCGUUGCCCGGAUUUAUUGGGCGUAAAGAGCUCGUAGGCGGUUUGUCGCGUCGGCCGUGAAAUCUCCACGCUUAACGUGGAGCGUGCGGUCGAUACGGGCAGACUUGAGUUCGGUAGGGGAGACUGGAAUUCCUGGUGUAGCGGUGAAAUGCGCAGAUAUCAGGAGGAACACCGGUGGCGAAGGCGGGUCUCUGGGCCGAUACUGACGCUGAGGUGCGAAAGCGUGGGGAGCAAACAGG
rnacentral:rRNA from 1 species